AGAAGGGUAGUCUAACCAAGAUAGUUGAUUUCGACUCAACAGAUUACAGCUCACAUCCUGUACCCUUCUA
rnacentral:tRNA from 1 species